CACACCGCCCGUCACACCACGGGAGUCGAUUGUACCUGAAGUCGGUGGGCUAACCCGCAAGGGAUGCAGCCGCCUAUGGUAUGGUCGGUGACUGGGGGUG
rnacentral:rRNA from 1 species